rnacentral:misc_RNA from 1 species
CGCACAUUGCGCCCUCUGGUAUUCCGGGGGGCACGCCUGUUCGAGCGUCAUUGAAUCAAUCAAGCCCCGCUUGGUAUUGGGUGCCUCUGUGGAGGGCCCGAAAUGCAGCGGCUCGGUCGUCCGGGGAAGAACGCACUGGAACACGCCUCGCGCGGUUAUCGUUUUUGCCCCCUGGCGGCCGUCGCCGGAAACACGGCCCCCGGGCUUCACUGAAUUGACCUCGGAUCAGGCGGGAAUACCCGCUGAACUUAA